rnacentral:rRNA from 1 species
UAGGGAAUAUUGCACAAUGGAGGAAACUCUGAUGCAGCGACGCCGCGUGAGUGAUGAAGGCCUUCGGGUUGUAAAGCUCUGUCGCAUGGGAAUAAGAAAGUGAAUGUACUAUGCAAGAAAGGAUCGGCUAACUUCGUGCCAGCAGCCGCGGUAAGACGAGGGAUCCUAGCGUUGUUCGGAAUCAUUGGGCGUAAAGCGGGUGCAUGUGGCUCUAUAAGUCAGGUGUGAAAUCCCAGGGCUCAACCCUGGAAGUGCAUUUGAUACUGUAGAGCUUGAGUGCUGGAGAGGUAAGUAGAAUUCCUGGUGUAGUGGUGAAAUACGUAGAUAUCAGGAGGAAUACCGGAGGCGAAGGCGGCUUACUGGCCAGACACUGACACUCAGACCCGAAAGCGUGGGGAUC